AAAUUCACUUUGAAUUCUCUCUGUUGUGAAGAAUUGACAAAAAACUGUUUAGAUAUUUACUUAUUUACUGAGAUGGGGGGGAGUUUAAUUAAAAUGUUGCUAUUUUAGUCUGUUGCUGUUUAGUAAUCCCCCCCCCCUCUUCUUGGGGAAACAGCAGACGUUUUUGAAAGGGGACUAGUUUAUUUACAUUUUUGUAGUAGGGGCGAUAUCU